AAUACGAGAUGCUACGUCGUCGAAGCAGUCUAUGUCAUACUUCCAAGAAAAGCUUGCACUGUCAUAAACAAAUAAUGCCUGUACCAUAACCGACACAGGUGGGUAGGUAGAGUAUACUAAGGGGCGCGAGAUAACUCUCUCUAAGGAACUCGGCAAAAUGACACCGUAACUUCGGGAGAAGGAGUGCCUUAUUUAUAAGGUUGCAAUAACAAGAUCCAAGCAACUGUUUACCAAAAACACAGGUCUCCGCUAAGUCGUAAGACGAUGUAUGGGGGCUGACGCCUGCCCAGUGCCAGAAGGUUAAAGAAGUUGGUUAGCAUCCGCGAAGCUGAUAACUGAAGCCCUGGUGAACGGCGGCCGUAACUAUAACGGUCCUAAGGUAGCGAAAUUCCUUGUCGGGUAAGUUCCGACCCGCACGAAAGGCGUAAUGAUUUGGAUACUGUCUCGGAGAGGGGCUCGGUGAAAUAGACUUGUCUGUGAAGAUGCGGACUACCUGCACCAGGACAGAAAGACCCUAUGAAGCUUUACUGUAACCUGAAAUUGAAAUUGGACUUUACUUGCGCAGUAUAGGUGGGAGGCGUUGAGAAUAUUCUUGCGGGAUUAUUGGAGCCAUCAGUGAGAUACCACUCUUGUAAUGUUAGAUUUCUAACUUUGUAUCAUUAUCUGGUCAAAGAACAGUUUCAGGCGGGCAGUUUGACUGGGGCGGUCGCCUCCUAAACGGUAACGGAGGCGCACAAAGGGUUCCUCUGAACGGGCAGAAAUCGUAUCUAGAGUGUAAAGGCAUAAGGAAGCUUGACUGUGAGACCUACAAGUCGAGCAGGGACGAAAGUCGGUCUUAGUGAUCUGACGGUGCUGAGUGGAAAGGCCGUCACUCAACGGAUAAAAGUUACUCUAAGGAUAACAGGCUGAUCUCCCCCAAGAGUUCACAUCGACGGGGAGGUUUGGCACCUCGAUGUCGGCUCAUCGCAUCCUGGGGCGGUAGUACGUCCCAAGGGUUGGGCUGUUCGCCCAUGAAAGCGGUACGCGAGCUGGGUUCAGAACGUCGUGAGACAGUUCGGUCCAUAUCCGGUGUAGGCGUUAGAAUAUUGAGAGGAGCCUUCUUUAGUACGAGAGGACCGAGAAGGACAUACCUCUGGUGUACCAGUUAUCGUGCCAACGGUAAACGCUGGGUAGCUAUGUGUGGAGUGGAUAACCGCUGAAAGCAUCUAAGUGGGAAGCCCACCUCAAGAUAAGUAUUCUCAUC
rnacentral:rRNA from 1 species